rnacentral:rRNA from 1 species
AUGAACGCUGGCGGCGUGCCUAAUACAUGCAAGUCGAGCGAACAGACGAGGAGCUUGCUCCUCUGACGUUAGCGGCGGACGGGUGAGUAACACGUGGAUAACCUACCUAUAAGACUGGGAUAACUUCGGGAAACCGGAGCUAAUACCGGAUAAUAUAUUGAACCGCAUGGUUCAAUAGUGAAAGACGGUUUUGCUGUCACUUAUAGAUGGAUCCGCGCCGCAUUAGCUAGUUGGUAAGGUAACGGCUUACCAAGGCAACGAUGCGUAGCCGACCUGAGAGGGUGAUCGGCCACACUGGAACUGAGACACGGUCCAGACUCCUCCGGGAGGCAGCAGUAGGGAAUCUUCCGCAAUGGGCGAAAGCCUGACGGAGCAACGCCGCGUGAGUGAUGAAGGUCUUCGGAUCGUAAAACUCUGUUAUUAGGGAAGAACAAAUGUGUAAGUAACUAUGCACGUCUUGACGGUACCUAAUCAGAAAGCCACGGCUAACUACGUG